rnacentral:rRNA from 1 species
GUGGGGAAUCUUCCGCAAUGGACGAAAGUCUGACGGAGCAACGCCGCGUGAACGAUGACGGCCUUCGGGUUGUAAAGUUCUGUUAUACGGGACGAAUGGCGUAGCGGUCAAUACCCGUUACGAGUGACGGUACCGUAAGAGAAAGCCACGGCUAACUACGUGCCAGCAGCCGCGGUAAUACGUAGGUGGCAAGCGUUGUCCGGAAUUAUUGGGCGUAAAGGGCGCGCAGGCGGCGUCGUAAGUCGGUCUUAAAAGUGCGGGGCUUAACCCCGUGAGGGGACCGAAACUGCGAUGCUAGAGUAUCGGAGAGGAAAGCGGAAUUCCUAGUGUAGCGGUGAAAUGCGUAGAUAUUAGGAGGAACACCAGUGGCGAAAGCGGCUUUCUGGACGACAACUGACGCUGAGGCGCGAAAGCCAGGGGAGCAAACGGGAUUAGAAACCCUAGUAGUCC